rnacentral:rRNA from 1 species
AGGUUACCGUAGGUGAACCUGCGGUAGGAUCAUUGUUGGUUCCGAGCCACGAACUGUGUAGGGGAGGAGGCGCGCUCGACAUGGUCGGGACUCGUAGCCUCCCCGACCCCCGCUCUCGUCGGCGUGUGGACUGGAGGGCCUGUUGACUUGUCGUGCAUCUAUCUCGCGAUUCUCUCCGGAUGGAUGCCGCGGCGGGCCUCGCGCCUCCGUAAGUCAUUCGCUUGCGGUUCGGGGUACGAUUCAAGGGCGUGACGGAGUGUGCCGCUGCACUCCUCGACAGCGCCCGCGGCGGCCGGUGGACUCCUCGGGGAGUCCGCGAGGCACAGCUGCAACCCCCCGUUGCGUCGACGAAGGGAGCAAUGUCGUGUAAAGGAGGUGUUGGUGGUGCGGACGGGCGCACUCGCGCAAGCCGCGGGGCAGGACCUCUCGUCGUCGUCCCCCUUCCCUCUUUGACGGCAUGUGUCCUUCGGAUGUUGCGGGGCGGGGACAUCUCCCGUCUCACGUGGCCACCCAUGAGGCAUCGCUUCUGGACCCCGGUGGCAAUUGUGGGACGGGCAGUGUGUCACAAACACUUAACACUGCGGUGCAGUUCGCACCAAGGAUUGAAAGACAGCCGCGCGAGCCGCACGCCGUGUGCGUGCGGGAUUGCCGGCGCCAUGAGAACACGACUCUCGGCAACGGAUAUCUCGGCUCUCGCCACGAUGAAGAAUGUAGCGAAAUGCGAUACUUAGUGUGAAUUGCAGAAUCCCGUGAAUCAUCGAGUCUUUGAACGCAAGUUGCGCCCGAGGCUUCGGCCGAGGGCACGUCUGCUUGGGCGUCGCACUUCUAAAUCGCCCUCCCCCCUGCGGCCUUGGGCGGGAGGAGCGGAUGUGGCCGUCCGUCCCCCAACAGCGGUGCGGUCGGCUUAAACAGGCACGGCGUCCGUCGCCCAUGUCACGACGAGCGGUGGCCCAAGCGGGUCGGCGUUAGUUUUGUGCCGGGCGGGUGCGGCUAUGUGCGGAACUUAAUCUGGGAGCGGGCGGCUUUGCAUGCGUGCGGGUCAGCCUGUUUUCCUUCCGCG